GAUUCCCUCAGCACGGAGACACUCCACUCGAGUUCUUUUCACUGCAGAGCUUGGUAAGGUAUGCUAUAAUUCAUUUUAACUCAAGGCCUCUUGGUAAUCUUGGAGGUGGAAGUGAAAAAGAAAAAGAAACUCUGAAAGUCCAUUUCUUUCCUGUUAAGAUGCACUGCUUUUUAUUUCAGCUUUUUAACCCAUUCUAAAUGUUUAGGAGGAAGCUUAAGGCACAGAAUGUUGGUGAUCAGGGCAGAAGGGACACCUUAGUGUGUUGGUGAUGCCUACUCAGAAUCUAUGAAUAGUUUGGUAUCAUUUAAUAGAAGGUGAACAAGGUAGAAGAGGGGUUGUAGAUAACAAUAUUAAAUAAUAAUAGUUUUAUUAUUUAUACCCCAGCCAUUGGCCAAGAUCUUGAUGGCAAGUCUCCAAUAAGCUAUCUAUAUCUAUAUCUAUAUCUAUAUCUAUAUCUAUAUCUAUAUCUAUAUCUAUAUCUAUAUCUAUAUCUAUAUCUAUAUCCAUAUCCAUAUCCAUAUCCAUAUCCAUAUCCAUAUCCAUAUCCAUAUCCAUAUCCAUAUCUAUAUCUAUAUCUAUAUCUAUAUCUAUCUAUCUAUCUAUCUAUCGUGUUACAUUUAGUUACAGUGGUACCUUGGGUUACAGAUGCUUCAGGUUAUGCAUUUUCGGGUUGCACACCGUGUCAAACCCGGAAGUACUAGAACGGGUUACUUCCGGGUUUCAGUGCUCACGCAUGCACAGAAGCACUAAAUUGUGCUUUGCACAUGUGCAGAAGUGAUGAAUCACGACCCGCAGGUGCUCAGACGUGGCACUCCUGGUUGCGAACGUGCCUUCCAUACAGAUCACGUUCUCAACCUGAGGUUCCACUGUAUCUUGUUUUGUUUUUUAUGGGGUUUUAUCCAGCUAUAUACUAUAUAAUUAUAUUACUAUAUAAUAAUAGUUUUAAUAUUUAUACCCCAUCCACUGGCCAAGAUCUUGAUGACAAGUCUCCAAUAAUCUAGCUAGCUAGCUAGCUAGCUAGCUAGCUAUCAUCUAUCUAUCAUGUUACAUUUAGUUACCUUGUUUUAUUUUUUUAAUGUGGUUGUAUCCAGAUAAGUUAUAUUCAAGGUAGGCCAGUUGAUAUAAAUGAACCAAAGGCAGGGGUAGCCAAUGCAAUGUCCUUCAGAUGCUUUGACCUAGAACUCUGAUUGUUCCUGGCUAUAUUGAUCAAGUUGGCUGGGACUAAUGGGACUUGUAGUCGAGAACACCUGGUGCAGACAUUGCUGGCUAUCCCUGAAUUAAAUUAUUCCUGCCCAUUGAUUUCAGUGGGCCUAUUCUGAAGGAGACUGAAGCUGGACACAUGGAGGGUAAUGGUAUCAAUGGCUACUAGCCACAAUGACUAGGUUCACCCUCCACUAUGAAAUGCAGUAUAACUCUGGUUAGCAGCAGCUAGGAAUCACAAGUGGAGAGACUGGCUAUUGUAAUCAGGUCCUGAUUGUGGGCUUUCCAUUGGGGCCUCUAGCUGGCCACUACGAGAACCCAAAGCUGGCCUGAAUGGGCCUUUGGUUCUAAAAUGUCUGUUGGAGAACCAGAACACUGUGAAAUUGCAUUACAGUUUACCCUUGUACACUUUGUCGACUCUCCACCUGAUGUGUCCUUUCAGAUCUAUACAUCCACUUCAGCCAAGAUGUCUUCCAGAUGGAACCAUUGCUACGCCAGCUGCCCUCCCUCCACCAUCCAAAUUCAGCCACCUCCCUUCCUCCUCACCAUUCCUGGGCCAGCUAUCCACUGCCCCAACCAACCUUUUUGCAUUGAGCAACACAACCC